rnacentral:lncRNA from 1 species
CAAUAAUGAAACAUGUGUAAGUGAAAACAAAAAUGUUUAUAAAAUAAGAAAAAAUGAAAGUGUUUGUUUACCUUUAAGUGAAGAACUGUUUUUCAUUUCAAUGGACUCAGAUAAAAUGAAAUUUAAUUUUACACAGACUUCUAAAAUGGUUAAUAACAUGGUUAGCAGUGUUAAUAAUUUAAAUGAUAUUUUUUACAGAGAAGUACCUACUAACAAUAUGUGCGAUAACACAUGUGUUAAUGCGUGUGAUGACAUAACUACUACUUUAAAUAAUAAUGAGAAAAGACGAACAGAAGAAAUUAUUUUACCCAUUUUAAAUAGUUCAAACAUAGUAAGAACAAUAAAAGAAUGCGACGAUGCGCAAAUAAACCAAUUGAAUAAGUUGAACAACUUGGAGGAAGAUGACGAGAGUAAAUUGAUUCAAGUUUACUUAAUGAAAUGUGAAAAAUAUACUAACAAUAGUAUUAAUGAUAACACUGUUGGAGCUCAGAGUAUUGAAAAAGAACUGACAAGUACAUGUAAAGUAAUAAACAAUCCAAAGUCCCAAUAUAUAUCCUUUAAUAAUAAUUAUGAACAUAAUAACCUAGAUAUGUAUGAGUUUAAUGAAGAGAUAAAAAAAACGGCAUCUGACUAUUUAUAUGAUAAAGAGCAGUUUACAGUAAUACCUAUGCCUGUUCCUGUGCCAGUACCUUUGACUGAAGAAAGUACCAAGCAAAUAAACAUUUUUAAAGAUGUGACGUAUGGAAAAGAUAACAUUACACAAGAGCUGAAAUUACAGGAUGUAAAAAAAAGAAAUAAACCUAAUAUAUAUACAUAUAUUUUAAAAAAAAAUGAAGAGGGAAAUAAAAACAUGUUAGAUGGAAGUAAUCAUGACCAGUUGCCUGAGGAAGAGGAAGUGACCAAAUCAAUGGGAGUAAUUGAGUCAAUGGGAGUAAUUGAGUCAAUGGGAGUAAUUGAGUCAAUGGGAGUAACUGGGUCAAUGGGAGUAACUGGGUCAAUGGGAGUAACCGAGUCAGUAAGAGCAGCAAAAUUAACUAUAAAUGGUUACAAUUUACCUAAUGCAGAAGAGGGAAGAAAAAUAAAAAAAAAAAAAAAAAGUAAAAAAAAAGUGACUACCCGUAGUAACAUAGUAAAAAAAAAAAAAAUUCAUGAUAAGUUAAUAAAUAAUGACGAAAAAAAUGCUAAUACGUUAUUACAAUUUAACAGUUGUAUGAGAACUAAAGAAAAUUCAAUGAAACAGCCAAAACAU